rnacentral:rRNA from 1 species
AGAGUUUGAUCCUGGCUCAGGACGAACGCUGGCGGCGCGCCUAACACAUGCAAGUCGAACGGAGCUUAGAGAGCUUGCUUUUUAAGCUUAGUGGCGAACGGGUGAGUAACGCGUGAGUAACCUGCCCUAGAGUGGGGGACAACAGUUGGAAACGACUGCUAAUACCGCAUAAGCCCACGGUACCGCAUGGUACUGAGGGAAAAGGAUUUAUUCGCUUUAGGAUGGACUCGCGUCCAAUUAGCUAGUUGGUGAGGUAACGGCCCACCAAGGCGACGAUUGGUAGCCGGACUGAGAGGUUGAACGGCCACAUUGGGACUGAGACACGGCCCAGACUCCUACGGGAGGCAGCAGUGGGGAAUAUUGCACAAUGGGGGAAACCCUGAUGCAGCGACGCCGCGUGGAGGAAGAAGGUUUUCGGAUUGUAAACUCCUGUCGUUAGGGACGAUAAUGACGGUACCUAACAAGAAAGCACCGGCUAACUACGUGCCAGCAGCCGCGGUAAAACGUAGGGUGCAAGCGUUGUCCGGAAUUACUGGGUGUAAAGGGAGCGCAGGCGGGAAGACAAGUUGGAAGUGAAAUCUAUGGGCUCAACCCAUAAACUGCUUUCAAAACUGUUUUUCUUGAGUAGUGCAGAGGUAGAUGGAAUUCCCGGUGUAGCGGUGGAAUGCGUAGAUAUCGGGAGGAACACCAGUGGCGAAGGCGGCCUACUGGGCACCAACUGACGCUGAGGCUCGAAAGCAUGGGUAGCAAACAGGAUUAGAUACCCUGGUAGUCCAUGCCGUAAACGAUGAUUACUAGGUGUUGGAGGAUUGACCCCUUCAGUGCCGCAGUUAACACAAUAAGUAAUCCACCUGGGGAGUACGACCGCAAGGUUGAAACUCAAAGGAAUUGACGGGGGCCCGCAC